UACGUAGGAAACAAGCGUUGUCCGGAAUCAUUGGGCGUAAAGAGCGUAUAGGCGGCCCAAUAAGUCCGCUGUGAAAGUCCAGGGCUCAACCCUGGAAUGCCGGUGGAUACUGUCGGGCUCGAAUCCGGAAGAGGUGAGUAAAAUUCCUGAUGUAGCGGUGAAAUGCGCAGAUAUCAGGAGGAACACCAAUGGCGAAGGCAGCUCACUGGGACGGUAUUGACGCUGAGACGCGAAAGCGUGGGGAGCAAACAGG
rnacentral:rRNA from 1 species